GGAAACAAAUAAGGGGGAGAGGGAAGCGGGAGCUGGCAGGCAGAGGUCAACGGGAGGACUUCUACAUUUCAUCCGGCACACGUUGAGAGAUGGAGGUGCCACGGAGUGACAGUCUCCGACCCCUAGGAGACAUUGAACCCAUCUGAUCAUCCCUCAGAGGAAACGUCCUCCAUUGAAAGCAUACAUCUGUGGUCUGUGCUGUAUAUCUGUGGAGGCUGACAAAUUGGCUCUCCGCCAAUGAUGAAGUGACAUCAUAUAUAAUGCCACCUCUGUUGGCCAUUAAUCAUGUCAUGCGUCUCUCACUGGAUGAACCCCAGGGAGUGCCGAGGGGAUCAGAGGACUGAACUGCACUUGAACUGGAAAAUAUGCACCAGAGCAGCCAGA